GAGUGCACAAAAACAUUUUAUUGGAUAAACAGUUUUCAUUACAUUAAAUAAACAAUUUGCAUUUCAUUGAAAUAUUUAGAGCUUAAUAACUCAAUCAUACUUUGUACAUUUGGAAAGUAAGCCCACCUGGAUAGGCAAAGCCUGAAGAUCAUACACAUAUAAACCUGUCUUGGAAAAAUAGCGCUAAUCCUCCUGGUCAUCACAAAGCC
rnacentral:lncRNA from 1 species